GGGGAGGUGGCUCAGUGGUAGAGUGCUUGCCUUGCAUGCAUGAGGUCCUGGUUCGAUUCCUCAGCACCG
rnacentral:tRNA from 1 species